rnacentral:rRNA from 1 species
CCCCUGGGGGGAAUUUUCCGCAAUGGGCGAAAGCCUGACGGAGCAAUACCGCGUGAGGGAGGAAGGCUCUUGGGUUGUAAACCUCUUUUCUCAAGGAAUAAUAAAUUGAAGGUACUUGAGGAAUCAGCAUCGGCUAACUCCGUGCCAGCAGCCGCGGUAAUACGGAGGAUGCAAGCGUUAUCCGGAAUGAUUGGGCGUAAAGGGUCCGCAGGUGGUGAUUCAAGUCUGUUGUCAAAGAAUCUGGCUUAACUAGAUAAAGGCAGUGGAAACUGAAAGACUAGAGUGCAGUAGGGGUAGAGGGAAUUCCCAGUGUAGCGGUGAAAUGCGUAGAGAUUGGGAAGAACACCGGUGGCGAAAGCGCUCUGCUGGACUAAAACUGACACCCAUUUAUUCCCAUCCCC